rnacentral:misc_RNA from 1 species
CAACCCUCAAACCCCCGGGUUUGGUGUUGGGGAUCGGACUGCUAGUCAGUCCGGCCCCGAAAUCUAGUGGCGGUCACGCUGCAGCUUCCAUUGCGUAGUAGAUAACACCUCGCAACUGGUACGCGGCGCGGCCAAGCCGUUAAACCCCCAACUUCUGAA